rnacentral:rRNA from 1 species
UACGUAGGGUGCGAGCGUUGUCCGGAAUUAUUGGGCGUAAAGAGCUCGUAGGCGGUGUGUCACGUCGGCCGUGAAAACCUGGGGCUUAACUCUGGGCGUGCGGUCGAUACGGGCAUCACUAGAGUUCGGCAGGGGAGACUGGAAUUCCUGGUGUAGCGGUGAAAUGCGCAGAUAUCAGGAGGAACACCGGUGGCGAAGGCGGGUCUCUGGACAGUUCCUGACGCUGAGGCACGAAGGUCAGGGGAGCGAACAGG